GAGGUGAUGGCUGUGGGCGAUUCACUGACAGAAUGAGAUUGUUGUUGCACGGACAAAUUGUAAGCUUGCGGCUGUCUUCCCGCGGGCACAUAGUAAACUGGGUACUGCUGAUCAAGCUGAUGGACUUGGUGUUGAUGUUGAUGAUGGUGGACUUGAGGUUGCUGUUGUGAUGGAUACACAGGAUAAUAAGCUGAAAUUGGCAUUGCUCCUGCAGGGUGAUGAUGAAUAUAAUGUCCACCAGCAUGAACAAAUUGUUGCUGCUGUGGUAGUUGUUGCUGCUGUAGUUGUUGCGGCUGCUGCUGUAGUUGUUGCUGCUGUUGUGGUUGCUGCGGUUGUUGUUGAUCAAGUUGGGAUUGAAAUACAUACCCUGAACCAGGAUCCUGAAUCUGUUGUACAUGGACACGGGCGUUGGGAUCGGAGACAUUAGGUGUCGGAUCAACAGGGUUAACAUUGACAGCAACCCUGUUGCCUCCAGAAGGGAUUUGCACGACUGAGUCUUGAUAAAUCAUAGGCUUUUGACGAGAAAUGGCAUUUGUAAGGCUACUAUCACUGAAACAUUUCGACAAACAUAUUUGCACACGUUUCAGAUUCCACUCAUUUCUCCACACUUAACAACCAACAUGAUUAAAAUUAUGAAUUCAAAUAUAGAAAUGAAUAUUUACCAACCUUGAAAUUGAAUCUGGGGAGGGCAAGUCCAGAACAACGCCGCCGCCCCCGCCGCCGCUUGACUUCUGCGGCAACGGCUGAGGUGGAGGUGGUGCUUUUUUGAAACCAACAGGCACGCCAUGAUCCGAUCUCUCAUCGUCAGAAACCACCCUAUUUACGUACUCACCAGAAACCAAACCCACCGUCGCAGCAGUUGUCACCACCGGCGGCGGAUGAGGUGACGACAUAACCACAAACCCCUCCUCUUGUUGGAGCUUUUGCCCACCGCCACUACCACCACUAAUAUUCAUCUGCCCAAAUUGCUCUUGAACCUUGCCACUCUCCUCUAC
rnacentral:lncRNA from 1 species